rnacentral:rRNA from 1 species
UACGGAGGGGGCUAGCGUUGUUCGGAAUUACUGGGCGUAAAGGGCGCGUAGGCGGCGCGAUAAGUUGGGCGUGAAAGGCCCGGGCUCAACCCGGGGACUGCGCUUGAUACUGUCGCGCUGGAAGGUGGGAGAGGAUGGCGGAAUUCCCAGUGUAGAGGUGAAAUUCGUAGAUAUUGGGAAGAACACCGGUGGCGAAGGCGGCCAUCUGGCCCGUAAUUGACGCUGAGGCGCGAAAGCGUGGGGAGCAAACAGG